rnacentral:lncRNA from 1 species
UAGGUUGGAAGUGAAUGUUUAGUAGCUGAAGGUACAACAUUGGGAGAGAAGUCUUCUGUGAAGAGGGCCAUUGUAGGAAAACAUUGUAAAAUUGGAGACAAAUGUAAAAUAGCUAACUCAGUCAUCAUGGAUUAUGUCAAUAUAUUAGAUGGGUAAGGAUUACAAUCACUUUCAUCAAAUAUUCUUUUUGUCAAGUGGCGAUCAUGACAAUAUUUGUGUCACGUAGUACCAUUAAACCCCUGUGGAAAAUGGCUACCAGGGUCAAUUUUUUAAUUCUGAUAUUUCAUUUAUUAUACAUGUACUGAAUGUUCUAUCAUUAAAUUGUCUUUUACUUAUAGAUUUAAAAUUGAACGUUAUCUAUGAAGUUACACAUAUAACCAUGAUAACUUUGUAACAGUCAUUAGAAACACAACAGAAUGAAGGCAAGACAACUUCUUUUUAUUUUGAUAGUCAAUGAGAAAGGUUCUUCUGAGGCCAAAACCAGGUCCAUGAGCAUUGUCUUUAUAAUUUAUUGAUGUGAAUUCAUUUAAUUUUUUUUUAAAUUAUCAAUUUUUGAUUAGCCUACAGGAGAGUGAUAUUAAAAAUAUUGUUUCCCUCUGGCCCAUUGGAGAGUAAAUUAUGUCCCUUGCAUUUUACAAUCAAAAUCUAGAAUUUUGACAUGAAGUUUAAUAAAUAAGAUUUGAAACAUGUCCAGGACAGACGAAAAUAUCAAAUACAAUGUAUAAGAUUAAAGGUAUAAAAACAGUAUUGGUAUUUCAAACAGGAUCAGUAACUAUUGCUUCAUGUUGACAUAAUUUAUGAUUUUGCAAAGCACUCUGUAUCUUUUUAGAAGGGUUAACUUGUUGUGACCCCCUAUUAACACUCAAAUUUUCCAGUUCACAUUUUAUUUUUAAGGUGUUCUGUGACUGGCAGUAUUGUAGGAUCUAAUGUACACAUACAUGAGAAAUGUGAGAUUAAAGACUGUAUUGUUGGAGCAGGACAGUCAUUAAAUGCCAUGGGUAAGUGGUUAAGAUAUCUUAUUUGUUGAGGUGUUAAAACAUCAUUGUCAUAGUGAAAACUGUACAAAAGUACACAGAAGAAAUUCAGAUACAAGUGCUGUAAAUUCAGAAAGCAUUGUGAGGUCUUUAUAAAUGCAAAUAAUUCAUUUGUCCCAAUAGCAAGAACUGUCAUUCUAAUAUCUGCAAUAAUUAAUGUCAUAAUAUGGUUGGUCAUGUCAAAUAUGUGAUAGUUUCUGACUUUACAUAAUAGUUUUAGCUAUUUGGUAACAUGAGUAGUUAAGACGUUUCUAUUUAAAAGCCCAUUUCAGUUUUACCAAUGAUUUUGUUUUAUUUAGUUAUCAAUUAUUAGCGUUUCUCUUCAAAUAUUUGACCCAAGAUUCUUUUAAAAUAUUAAAAGGCUUUCCUUCUUGUUUUUUUUUCAGGUCAAUUUACAAAUGAAGCAAUAGUAGAUAUCAGCUGGUAGAUAUAGACAAAAUGUUGGAGAUCUAGUGAUGUACACUUUACAAGUAUAAUAAAAUCAAAUUGCAAAGUGAAAUCUUUCCUUACCUAAGCAAUGCAUGAAAUGGAAGAUUAUUUCCUGUGUGAAGUAUGUAAAGCUGUUUAAGAAGACAAUGCCUGAAAUAUUCAGACUUAUAAGAAAUAUCUCAACAUCAAUAAACCAUUAUUUUUAGUUCUGCAAGAAUAAUUUUCAAUGAAAGGAAGACUAAAUGCAUUACACUAUUCAAUAAAUUCAACAUUAGAUUUCACCUUUAUAUGGUGAAUAAAUUGAGAAAGGUGCAAUGGGAAAUUUCCUUGGAUGGUUUAAACUCUAUCGUUUUGUGCAAAGAUAAUAAACUGUAUGAUCAUGAUUUUUAUUUUCAAUUUUCUAAGUGGUUUUCUUGACUUAAACCAGUGUUUGUGUAAACAUGUGUUAUAUAUGGUCUUUAGAAAUGAAGGUUACAUAUAGUCUGGAUUGAAGGAAAUUGCAAAGUAAGCAUUGACCCGUGUAGAUCGUAGUAACAACACUAAUUAACCCAAGGUAAAGUGACCAACAGAUUAAAACCCAUCAAAGGUGUUAAUUAGGCCAUAAACAUGUCACCUGAAAAAUCCGUUGUAACAUAAACAAAUGCUAUAAACGUAUCUUGAAUUGCAACAUAAUUCUUAUCAAAAUCAAGCCCAGCAUGAAAUUAUUAUUUCCCAUAUGUACGAGAACUAUGAAGAUAUAAAAUGAACACUUUAUAUCAUACUAGCC